rnacentral:pre_miRNA from 14 species
AGAUGUUCUACAGGGUCGACAUGAGACCACAUGAAGCUAUCAUAUUUGUCUAUGUUAUCCAACUCAUGUGUUCUCAGGUCGCCCCUGCUGAAUUUUC